AGAGUUUGAUCAUGGCUCAGAACGUACGCUGGCGGCACGCCUAACACAUGCAAGUCGAACGAAGUAGCAAUACUUAGUGGCAGACGGGUGAGUAACAUGUAGGUAUCUGCCCUUUGGCCUGGAAUAACACGAGGAAACUUGUGCUAAUACCGGAUAAGUCUUCACGGAGAAAGCUUUAUGCACCAUUGGAUGAGCCUGCACUUGAUUAGUUUGUUGGUGGGGUAAUGGCCUACCAAGACUUUGAUCAAUAGCUGAUUUGAGAGGAUGAUCAGCCACAUUGGGACUGAGACACGGCCCAAACUCCUACGGGAGGCAGCAGUGGGGAAUCUUGCACAAUGGAGGAAACUCUGAUGCAGCGAUGCCGCGUGAGUGAAGAAGGCCCUUGGGUUGUAAAGCUCUUUCGUCGGGGAAGAAAAUGACUGUACCCGAAUAAGAAGGUCCGGCUAACUUCGUGCCAGCAGCCGCGGUAAUACGAAGGGACCUAGCGUAGUUCGGAAUUACUGGGCUUAAAGAGUUCGUAGGUGGUUGAAAAAGUUGGUGGUGAAAUCCCAGAGCUUAACUCUGGAACUGCCAUCAAAACUUUUCAGCUAGAGUUUGAUAGAGGAAAGCAGAAUUUCUAGUGUAGAGGUGAAAUUCGUAGAUAUUAGAAAGAAUACCAAUUGCGAAGCAGCUUUCUGGAUCAUUACUGACACUGAGGAACGAAAGCAUGGGUAGCGAAGAGGAUUAGAUACCCUCGUAGUCCAUGCCGUAAACGAUGUGUGUUAGACGUUGGGAAAUUUAUUUUCAGUGUCGCAGCGAAAGCGAUAAACACACCGCCUGGGGAGUACGA
rnacentral:rRNA from 1 species